AGCAAUAAAUAUGAGAGUGACGUACGGGUGCGUAACACGUAUGCAACCUACCCUUUACAGGCGGAUAGCUCGGGGAAACUCGAAUUAACCCGCCGUAAUAUAAUUGGAUGGCAUCAUCUGGUUAUUAAAUCUACGGAGGUAAAGGAUGGGCAUGCGUCUGAUUAGUUAGUUGGCGGGGUAACGGCCCACCAAGACGAUGAUCAGUAGGGGAACUGAGAGGUUGAUCCCCCACACUGGCACUGAGAUACGGGCCAGACUCCUACGGGAGGCAGCAGUAGGGAAUAUUGGUCAAUGGAUGGAAGUCUGAACCAGCCAUGCCGCGUGCAGGAAGAAGGCCUUCUGGGUUGUAAACUGCUUUUGCCAGGGGAUAAAAUGACCUUGCGAGGUUAAUUGAAGGUACCUGGUGAAUAAGCCACGGCUAACUACGUGCCAGCAGCCGCGGUAAUACGUAGGUGGCAAGCGUUGUCCGGAUUUAUUGGGUUUAAAGGGUGCGUAGGCGGCUUAUUAAGUCAGUGGUGAAAUACUCUAGCUCAACUAGAGGGGUGCCAUUGAUACUGAUGAGCUUGAGUACAGAUGAGGUAGGCGGAAUUGACGGUGUAGCGGUGAAAUGCUUAGAUAUCGUCAAGAACACCUAUAGCGAAGGCAGCUUACUAGGCUGUAACUGACGCUGAGGCACGAAAGUGUGGGGAUCAAACAGGAUUAGAUACCCUGGUAGUCCUGUAAACGUUGGGCGCUAGGUGUGGGGACCUUCCACGGUUUCCGCGCCGUAGCUAACGCAUUAAGCGCCCCGCCUGGGGAGUACGGCCGCAAGGCUAAAACUCAAAGGAAUUGACGGGGGCCCGCACAAGCGGCGGAGCAUGUUGCUUAAUUCGACGCAACGCGAAGAACCUUACCAAGGCUUGACAUUGCCCGGAAACACUCAGAGAUGGGUGCCUCUUCGGAUCGGGUGACAGGUGGUGCAUGGCUGUCGUCAGCUCGUGUCGUGAGAUGUUGGGUUAAGUCCCGCAACGAGCGCAACCCUUGUUCAAUGUUGCCAGCAACACCUUCGGGUGGUUGGGGACUCAUUGGAGACUGCCGGGGUCAACUCGGAGGAAGGUGGGGAUGACGUCAAGUCAUCAUGCCCCUUAUGUCUUGGGCUGCAAACAUGCUACUAUGGCCGGUACAGAGGGCUGCGAUACCGCAAGGUGGAGCGAAUCCCUAAAAGCCGGCCUCAGUUCGGAUUGGGGUCUGCAACUCGACCCCAUGAAGUCGGAGUCGCUAGUAAUCGCAGAUCAGCAACGCUGCGGUGAAUACGUUCCCGGGCCUUGCACACACCGCCCGUCACGUCACGAAAGUCGGCAACACCCGAAGCCCGUGGCCCAACCAGCUUGCUGGGGGGAGCGGUCGAAGGUGGGGCUGGCGAUUGGGACGAAGUCGAAACAAGGUA
rnacentral:rRNA from 1 species